AGCUUUCGGGCCCAUACCCCGAAAAUGUUGGAUACACCCAACCUCUGCUA
rnacentral:tRNA from 2 species